rnacentral:tRNA from 1 species
UACUGAAUAUGAGAUUUGAACUCAUCUAAACGGGUUCUAAGUCCGUUACCUAAACCACUAGGCUAAUUCAGC